rnacentral:rRNA from 1 species
GGAAUAUUGGUCAAUGGACGAAAGUCUGAACCAGCCAUGCCGCGUGAAGGAUGAAGGCCCUCUGGGCCGUAAACUUCUUUUAUUAGGGAAGAAACCUCAGGAUGCGUCCUGAGCUGACGGUACUUAAUGAAUAAGGAUCGGCUAACUUCGUGCCAGCAGCCGCGGUAAGACGAAGGAUCCAAGCGUUGUCCGGAUUUACUGGGUUUAAAGGGUGCGUAGGCGGAAAAUUAAGUCAGUGGUGAAAGCCCGCAGCUCAACUGUGGAACUGCCAUUGAAACUGGUUUUCUUGAAUAUAGCUGAGGCAGAUGGAAUAUAACAUGUAGCGGUGAAAUGCUUAGAUAUGUUAUAGAACACCGAUUGCGAAGGCAGUCUGCUAAACUAUUAUUGACGCUGAGGCACGAAAGCGUGGGGAGCGAACAGGAUUAGAUACCCUGGUAGUCCACGCCCUAAACGUUGAUUACUCGCUGUUGGCGAUAUACUGUCAGUGGCUAAGCGAAAGCAUUAAGUAAUCCACCUGGGAAGUACGACCGCAAGGUUGAAACUCAAAUGAAUUGACGG